rnacentral:rRNA from 1 species
AGGAAAAGAAACCAACAGGGAUUGCCUUAGUAGCGGCGAGUGAAGCGGCAAAAGCUCAAAUUUGAAAUCUGGUACUUUCAGUAUCCGAGUUGUAAUUUGUAGAAGCAACUUUGGUGAUGGUCUUUGCAUAAGUUCCUUGGAAUAGGACGUCAUAGAGGGUGAGAAUCCCGUAUAUGGUGAAGAACCCACACUAUGUAAAGUGCUUUCGAAGAGUCGAGUUGUUUGGGAAUGCAGCUCAAAGUGGGUGGUAAAUUCCAUCUAAAGCUAAAUAUUGGCGAGAGACCGAUAGCGAACAAGUACUGUGAAGGAAAGAUGAAAAGAACUUUGAAAAGAGAGUGAAAAAGUACGUGAAAUUGUUGAAAGGGAAGGGAUCUAAAUCAGACAUGGUAUUUUGUGAUCAACAGUCUUUCGGGAUUGUGCACUCGCAUUUUACUAGGCCAGCAUCGGUUAGAAGGGGGUAAAAAAGAUUUUGGAAUGUGGCUCCUCGGAGUGUUAUAGCCAAAGUUAAUUGCCCCAUUUCUGACCGAGGACCGCGUCUUUUGACUAGGAUGCUGGCGUAAUGGUUUUGAUCCACCCGU